rnacentral:rRNA from 1 species
UACGUAGGGGGCUAGCGUUGCUCGGAAUUACUGGGCGUAAAGCGCACGUAGGCGGCUUUCUAAGUCGGGGGUGAAAUCCUGGAGCUCAACUCCAGAACUGCCUUCGAUACUGGAAAGCUCGAGUCCGGGAGAGGUGAGUGGAACUGCGAGUGUAGAGGUGAAAUUCGUAGAUAUGGGGAGGAACACCGGGUGGCGAAGGCGGCCACC